GUCCGUCUGUGGGAGUUGAACUGUGUGACCUGGGUUGCUGGCGUGAGGGUCUGUCGGGCUGAGGCCUCCUUCCUGCCUGCAGCCGGUUCACGGCUCCUGAGAGCUGUGCCGGGUCCUGCUUACCUGUGAGGAGGCGUGCUGUUUCAGAAAAUGCACCGUAUGAUUUCAGCUGCCAGUUAAGGAUAAAGGAAAAUUAUAACCAUGAUUGCAG
rnacentral:lncRNA from 1 species